CUCAGCGGGCUUGGGUCGUCCGGCCGCGGGGUCAGGGAAGACCAGAGGACCACUAGCCCCAGGAAGCUUCCCACCACCAGCAAACUGCGUGGUGAAUUUGUAACCGAAAGGCCCAGGUGAGAUGUGCAAAUAUCACUGGAUUGGAGGAGCUCACUUGGAAAGCCAGUAUUCCUCCUGAGCUAAUGAAAAGAAAGGCUGUCGUCUUAUGCCAAAAGCAAUACCAACCUUGUUCACGGGCUGAGAUCUAGAGUGUGUAAUUCACGAAGUAUGAAUCUGCUGGGUAAUGUGAUAUGAAAAGCGAAUGCACCAUUUCUUGGUGAUGAUUCAGGUCAGCGUUGGGACCCAGGAAUCUCCUGUUAAUCAGUACCCUGGUGAUUUUGAUCCAGAGACGGGGUCUAUUAUCUGGUCCUGUUGUCAAGGCUGGUCUCAAACUCCUGGCCUCCAGCGAUCCUCCCUUUUUGGCCUCCCAAGAUGCUGGUAUUACAGGCAUGAGCCACCAUGGUCCACCCGGACUCCUUUUCAUAGGAGACAGUUCCCUAGGCAGAGACUGGGCUUGAAACAGGUAACUUACAAGGCAUCCUGUGAUCAUAAGAGAAUAAUUCCAUUUGAAAUCAGCAGCUGAAGUCCACCUGAAUAAUUAAGUCUUUCACUUGUGUUAUUUUCACAGGGGAGACAGUUUUUUAUUCUUAAGAAGUUCCUCUAAAGAAGAGGGUAGAGACUAGAACUGAAUGAGAUGGACAUAGAGAUGGCCAAGAAAAGCAUCGUCCUCUGCCAAGUCAUGGGGUCAUGUGUGGUGGAUGGUGACAUGGUGUCCUCAGCUCAGAGUCCAGCUGGGGGCUCAGAAGCAAGGUAACUGAAGGGAGAGAAUUAUUUGAGCACCUAGUGUGUGUAAGAUGCUUCACAUUUAUUAUUUCACCUAACCUCUACACAACCUGUUGUGGGUAUUACUGGUCUCAAGCUGGGAUUCAAAGCAGGUUUUUCCAACCUCAGAAUUCUUGCCAGACUGAUUAGCCUUCUGCAUCUGGAACAUAAAUGUUUUCAGGCAGCAUAAUGUGCAAGAGGUCAGAGCCUAAAGCUUUGUUAUUUUUUAAUUUCUCCACCAUGUCAACUCUGUUACAGGGAAGCCCAGCAGAGGGAAUUGUAUCCAUUUUGGGGCUACACUACCCCAAUGCUAUGCUGCAGCCAAGCUGAACUUCUAAGUUUCUAAAUGUAACUCACUUACCUUCAGGCCUUUGUACGGGGAGUUCUUUUUGCCUGAAAUACCUUCUGACAUCUUAACAUUACGCUUAGAUGUCAGUUACAAAAAAGCUUUUUCUAGACUCUCUCACAUGUCCCACUCCACACCCCUAUAUCUCUUCCCACCAAUGUACUAGGGUAGGUAUCCUGCUAGGUACUUCCACUGCACCCUCUACUUUUCUUCCCUAAUGAUUACCACUAUAUUGUAAUUGCUUAAUUUCUUUUUCCUAUACCCAGAUAAAAAUGUGUAUGAAGGUGGA
rnacentral:lncRNA from 1 species